AGCGAACGCUGGCGGCAGGCCUAACACAUGCAAGUCGAACGAACUCUUCGGAGUUAGUGGCGGACGGGUGAGUAACACGUGGGAACGUGCCUUUAGGUUCGGAAUAACUCAGGGAAACUUGUGCUAAUACCGAAUGUGCCCUUCGGGGGAAAGAUUUAUCGCCUUUAGAGCGGCCCGCGUCUGAUUAGCUAGUUGGUUGGGGUAAUGGCCCACCAAGGCGACGAUCAGUAGCUGGUCUGAGAGGAUGACCAGCCACAUUGGGACUGAGACACGGCCCAAACUCCUACGGGAGGCAGCAGUGGGGAAUCUUGCGCAAUGGGCGAAAGCCUGACGCAGCCAUGCCGCGUGUAUGAUGAAGGUCUUAGGAUUGUAAAAUACUUUCACCGGUGAAGAUAAUGACUGUAGCCGGAGAAGAAGCCCCGGCUAACUUCGUGCCAGCCGCCGCUGUAACAC
rnacentral:rRNA from 1 species